rnacentral:rRNA from 1 species
UACGGAAGGGGCAAGCGUUGUUCGGAAUCAUUGGGCGUAAAGGGCGCGUAGGUGGUUCUGUAUGUCUACCGUGAAAGCGUACGGCUCAACCGUAUUUUGUCGGUAGAAACUGCAGGACUUGAGGCUGGGAGGGGCUGGUGGAAUUCCCUGUGUAGCGGUGAAAUGCGUAGAGAUGGGGGAGAACACUCGUGGCGAAGGCGGCCAGCUAGACCAGUUCUGACACUGAGGCGCGACGAGCGUGGGGGAGCAAACAGG